rnacentral:rRNA from 1 species
AGUCGUAACAAGGUUUCCGUAGGUGAACCUGCGGAAGGAUCAUUACCUAGAGUUUGUAGACUUCGGUCUGCUACCUCUUACCCAUGUCUUUUGAGUACCUUCGUUUCCUCGGCGGGUCCGCCCGCCGAUUGGACAACAUUCAAACCCUUUGCAGUUGCAAUCAGCGUCUGAAAAAACAUAAUAGUUACAACUUUCAACAACGGAUCUCUUGGUUCUGGCAUCGAUGAAGAACGCAGCGAAAUGCGAUAAGUAGUGUGAAUUGCGGAAUUCAGUGAAUCAUCGAAUCUUUGAACGCACAUUGCGCCCCUUGGUAUUCCAUGGGGCAUGCCUGUUCGAGCGUCAUUUGUACCUUCAAGCUCUGCUUGGUGUUGGGUGUUUGUCUCGCCUCUGCGUGUAGACUCGCCUUAAAACAAUUGGCAGCCGGCGUAUUGAUUUCGGAGCGCAGUACAUCUCGCGCUUUGCACUCAUAACGACGACGUCCAAAAGUACAUUUUUACACUCUUGACCUCGGAUCAGGUAGGGAUACCCGCUGAACUUAAGCAUAUCA